UCCCCGUCCCAUCUUUCUCUUAAAUCUGUAUCUGUGUUUUCUUUAAGCUUGUGGCACCCGUCACUCACCUCGAGUCGCCGAGCUGGUCUCGGCAAGGGCAUAUAUCAUAACUGAGCUCUUAAAUCAGGAGAGCGAAGUUUGAGUCUCAUAAUGAUUGCACUCUGGUUCACUCCACUAUUCUCUCUGCUUUGAAAAUUUCCAUGAUAACGAAUAUAUUUUGGUUCAGCCACACAGUAGACUAUUAUGUGUUCUCUAAAACUCCUCUCUUCAAAGAGCAUUUAAUAACCUGCAGAACAGCUCAAAAUAAAAUGCUAAGGGCAAAAGUCAGGAUGAAAAUUGUGUGUAUCAUGAUCCAAAUUUUUGGUGUAUGUGUUUAUCAACGAGGAGAUGAAUCAAAACGUCUGCAGUGUGACCUCUGCGUGAGGGGAUCGGCAUGUGUUGAAGCCACUGAACUCUACAUAGAGACUGCAAUUUGGCCAGUCUUCUCUCCUGAUGUCCAGGAGACACCAAUAGGCUGGAAGUUACCAUGCUGCUUAGGAAAACGGAUGCUGAUUAUCAAGAGCCCAUGGUUGACCUUGGAAAUGAAGUGAAACCACAGGACUUCACAUGUUCCAAAUUUCUUAGAAGGGCUCAAGAUCAAUGUCGCCGUGCUCCCCUCCAUCACUAUUGCUCUGAAAGCAGAAGAGUAAAUAGGUAAUAGAAGAUUGAGUCUCCUUUUACCCAAAGCAACCCCCAGAUGGGGUACAACAGUAAUUUUUGUUGUUACAUGAGGAAGAACUUUCUAACAUUUGGUGCUAUCAGCAAAGGGAAUCAGCUGAUUGUUGAGAUCCUGAAUUCCCCCAAGACUGGAUUUACUCUAACACAGAUGACAACUUACUAUUUGGGGAAAUGUUAUUGGGUAGAACGUCAAAUGAAAAUCCCAUCCAACUUUAGAAGUGUCUGGUUCUAUUAGUUCCUGUAUCAUCGGUAGUGAAACCCUACGAACAUCCCUUGUGUAAUGAAAAUACCACGUA